rnacentral:rRNA from 1 species
CAGCAGCCGCGGGAAAACGGAGGGGGCUAGCGUUGUUCGGAAUUACUGGGCGUAAAGCGCACGUAGGCGGCUUGGUAAGUUAGAGGUGAAAGCCCAGGGCUCAACCCUGGAAUUGCCUUUAAGACUGCCGAGCUAGUAGGUGAGAGAGGUGAGUGGAAUUCCGAGUGUAGAGGUGAAAUUCGUAGAUAUUCGGAAGAACACCAGUGGCGAAGGCGGCUCACUGGCUCAUUCUAGACGCUGAGGUGCGAAAGCGUGGGGAGCAAACAGGAUUAGAUACCCCCGUAGUCCCUGUCUCUUAUAC